rnacentral:rRNA from 1 species
GAAAGAUUCAUCGGAAGAGGAUGGGCAUGCGGCGCAUUAGCUUGACGGCGGGGUAACGGCCCACCGUGGCGACGAUGCGUAGGGGUUCUGAGAGGAAGGUCCCCCACACUGGUACUGAGACACGGACCAGACUCCUACGGGAGGCAGCAGUGAGGAAUAUUGGUCAAUGGGAGAGAUCCUGAACCAGCCAAGCCGCGUGAGGGAAGACGGCCCUAUGGGUUGUAAACCUCUUUUGUCGGAGAACAAAACCCGGGACGAGUCCCGGACUGCGUGUAUCCGAAGAAAAAGCAUCGGCUAACUCCGUGCCAGCAGCCGCGGUAAUACGGAGGAUGCGAGCGUUAUCCGGAUUUAUUGGGUUUAAAGGGUGCGUAGGCGGUCCGUUAAGUCAGCGGUAAAAUUGCGGGGCUCAACCCCGUCGAGCCGUUGAAACUGGCAGACUUGAGUUGGCGAGAAGUACGCGGAAUGCGCGGUGUAGCGGUGAAAUGCAUAGAUAUCGCGCAGAACUCCGAUUGCGAAGGCAGCGUACCGGCGCCACACUGACGCUGAGGCACGAAAGCGUGGGGAUCGAACAGGAUUAGAUACCCUGGUAGUCCACGCAGUAAACGAUGAAUGCUGGUUGUCCGGGUCGAAUGAGAUCUGGGCGGCGA